rnacentral:rRNA from 1 species
UAUUGCACAAUGGGGGAAACCCUGAUGCAGCGACGCCGCGUGGGUGACGAAGUAUUUCGGUAUGUAAAGCCCUAUCAGCAGGGAAGAAGAUGACAGUACCUGACCAAGAAGCCCCGGCUAACUACGUGCCAGCAGCCGCGGUAAUACGUAGGGGGCAAGCGUUAUCCGGAUUUACUGGGUGUAAAGGGAGCGUAGGUGGCAUGGCAAGCCAGAAGUGAAAACCCGGGGCUUAACCCCGCGGAUUGCUUUUGGAACUGUCAGGCUGGAGUGCAGGAGGGGCAGGCGGAAUUCCUGGUGUAGCGGUGAAAUGCGUAGAUAUCAGGAGGAACACCGGUGGCGAAGGCGGCCUGCUGGACUGGUCACUGACACUGAGGCUCGAAAGUGUGGGUAUCAAACAGG